rnacentral:lncRNA from 1 species
AAAUUAGGGGGAUUAAUAUAGGGUAUAGAUAGGUAUAGAUGUUGUUAUAUUCCUAUGUUAUUUUAUCGUAUUGUGGUAGAUGCCUUAUAUGUUUUUGGCAUAUGGCGGAUCUGGGCUCGCACUGGGCAGGCUUCCGCUGGGGCCCGGUGUGACAAAUCAGGAACAGAAUUUAUAUACAGAUUGCAUAAGGAAGGCAUAGAAAACAUAAAACAACUACGCUAUUACAAACAUUCGUCACAUUCACAUUACAUUUAAAUUCCUUUUUUUUUUUUUUUUCAAAUACAAUCAACUUUAUUACAUUUUGUUCCAUUCUUUUCUUUCUAUAUCCCUAAGCUAUGCGGACCCA